rnacentral:rRNA from 1 species
GAUGAACGCUGGCGGCGUGCCUAAUACAUGCAAGUCGAGCGAACAGACGAGGAGCUUGCUCCUCUGGCGUUAGCGGCGGACGGGUGAGUAACACGUGGAUAACCUACCUAUAAGACUGGGAUAACUUCGGGAAACCGGAGCUAAUACCGGAUAAUAUAUUGAACCGCAUGGUUCAAUAGUGAAAGACGGUUUUGCUGUCACUUAUAGAUGGAUCCGCGCCGCAUUAGCUAGUUGGUAAGGUAACGGCUUACCAAGGCAACGAUGCGUAGCCGACCUGAGAGGGUGAUCGGCCACACUGGAACUGAGACACGGUCCAGACUCCUACGGGAGGCAGCAGUAAGGAAUCUUCCGCAAUGGGCGAAAGCCUGACGGAGCAACGCCGCGUGAGUGAUGAAGGUCUUCGGAUCGUAAAACUCUGUUAUUAGGGAAGAACAAAUGUGUAAGUAACUAUGCACGUCUUGACGGUACCUAAUCAGAAAGCCACGGCUAACUACGUG